rnacentral:lncRNA from 1 species
AAGUUGCUAUUAUCCUUAUUCCUUCUUAACGAAAUGGACAUUUCAAUUAAUAUAUUUAGUUCUACUUAACCAAAAAACCUAUAAAUUCCAAAGUACUCCUCCAUGCUUCUAAUUUACAGUUUAUGAUGUUUAUCCGCGUCUUGGCUCAAUGAACUAAAACUACUAUAGCUAAAACAAAAAGAUUUUGCCACCAAAGUAUGCAAAAUGAUUUCUAUAGUAAAUCUUUGUGGCUUGAAAUUGAACUAAUUUUGAAAUAUAUAUUGCACCCUCUCUCAAAAUUUCACAGUCAGACCUGUAAUUGAAGUACUUCUGAAGAUAAAAUUGUAAUUACCUCCAACAAAGUAGUGGUCAAGGUAUUAGAAGAAAAAUACCUCUCUAAGAAGCACAGCUUCUGGGAAUGGCCCGGUGGCUUCAUCAGGUUUAGGAACAAAGCGAUGGUUGCUCUCUCUUUCUUUGCUGUUGCCACUGUUAAUGGGGUGCCCCUGAGCCUCACCUUCUGUAAAGACAGAGGUCAAAAGCCAGAAGGUCACUUACGCCCAUUUGCUGAAACCAAGAAACGAUAAUUCCCAUUUAGAGAGGAGCAGCCACUGGAAAAUAGGUUCACCAAUAAUUUUCCCAUUACAAAGAACCGUUAAUGGAAAGGAAAGGGUUAAGAAAUCGACCUAGGCCUUGCGGUCAUUGAUCUCGAGCUUCAGGUCCUCUUUCGCCACGCCGGCUUCCGCAACGGAUCCUUCUUCUUCGUCGUCUUCGUCCUCAUCCCCAGAGUGUAUGUCGAAGUCCGAUGAUAUCGCGAUCCUCUUCGUCCCUGUUCCCGUCCCCAAAGUCGAUGUCGGAGUCCAAUGGAAAUGGAGAUACAAAGGUAAAGCAAGUAUGAAGCGAGAGACGCCCCUCCGGGGAUAGGGCAGUGAAAAAGGACAGGAGGCAGUCGUGGUGCGUGGAGGUUGGAUAACUGAAAUAUGAAAUUGAAUUGCUCGUAAAUGCAGUGUACAUACAUAUUUUUGCUCAUGGUGGUUUGAGCAAAAAUGAAGAAGAAAAAAGCAAAUAGUGUGUGCUUUUUUUUUCCCUUUCUUUCUU